rnacentral:tmRNA from 1 species
AGGCUUGAAACGCCGGGGCGGGAUGCGUAUCUUUGGGAUGUUCCGGCAACGGGACUAUGGACAUAAACGCGCUCGGAAUAAGCGGAUCGGACCCGGGGGCGGUACCCGGCGGCUCCACCAUAACCCCUCAUUGGGGGAGUUUGGGGCCGAAACAGGAUCGACGAACGUGUAAAGGAGUGGCUUUGUCCCGGUGAGGUACCACCGUUAUCGGUCCGAAAAGUACAGUUGCCAAUGACAACCGUGCUCCGGUGGCCGUUGCUGCGUAAGCAGUAGCGACAUCGAAACCUAAGCCCAGGCGUGUAGCAGCGUCUGGCGGGGUCCGCAGGCACCUGGCAACAGAAGCCUGCACU